UACAGAGGUCUCAAGCGUUGUUCGGAUUCAUUGGGCGUAAAGGGUGUGUAGGUGGCGCGCUAAGUCGGGUGUGAAAUUUCGGAGCUUAACUCCGAAACUGCAUUCGAUACUGGCGUGCUUGAGGACUGGAGAGGAGACUGGAAUUCCUGGUGUAGCGGUGAAAUGCGUAGAUAUCUGGAGGAACACCGGUGGCGAAGGCGGCAUCCUGGACCGGUAUUGACGCUGAGGAGCGAAAGCGUGGGGAGCGAACAGG
rnacentral:rRNA from 1 species